rnacentral:rRNA from 1 species
GACGAACGCUGGCGGCGUGCUUAACACAUGCAAGUCGAACGGAAAGGCCUGCUUUCCCUUGUGGAUUGCGGGUACUCGAGUGGCGAACGGGUGAGUAACACGUGAGUGAUCUGCCCCCAACUUGGGUAUAAGCCUGGGAAAUUGGGUCUAAUUCCCGAUAGGACUGCAGGGUGGUGCCUGUGGUGGAAAACGAUUUUCUAGUGGUUGGGGAUGAGCUCGCGGCCUAUCAGCUUGUUGGUGGGGUAAUGGCCUACCAAGGCGGCGACGGGUAGCCGGCCUGGGAGGGUGGUCGGCCACAUUGGGACUGAGAUACGGCCCAGACUCCUACGGGAGGCAGCAGUGGGGAAUAUUGCACAAUGGGCGGAAGCCUGAUGCAGCGACGCCGCGUGGGGGAUGAUGGCCUUCGGGUUGUAAACUCCUUUCGACCGCGAGGAAGCCACCUGGUUGGAAGGGUGGUGACGGUAGUGGUAGAAGAAGCACCGGCUAACUACGUG